GGGACUAUAGUUUAAUGGUAGAAUAGCUGCCUUCCAAUCGGUUCAGCAGCUGGCGUGAGUUCGAUUCUCGCUGGUCUCA